GAGACACCCUUAUGGGGCAGGACUUGCUUCAGUGGGGCUUUGGUGCUCACUGAGUCUGCCACCUGAGUGUGUCUCU
rfam:Myotis brandtii contig311287, whole genome shotgun sequence.